rnacentral:rRNA from 1 species
GAUGAACGCUAGCGAUAGGCUUAACACAUGCAAGUCGAGGGGCAGCACAAGGUAGCUUGCUCUCUGGGUGGCGACCGGCGCACGGGUGCGUAACGCGUAUGCAACUUGCCCUAUACAGGAGGAUAACCCGUCGAAAGACGGACUAAUACUGCGUAUGCUCACAACUUGGCAUCAAGUGGUGAGGAAAGAAAUUCGGUAUAGGAUAGGCAUGCGUCCCAUUAGCUUGUUGGUGAGGUAACGGUUCACCAAGGCAACGAUGGGUAGGGGAACUGAGAGGUUUAUCCCCCACACUGGUACUGAGACACGGACCAGACUCCUACGGGAGGCAGCAGUGAGGAAUAUUGGUCAAUGGGCGCGAGCCUGAACCAGCCAAGUCGCGUGAAGGAUGACUGUCUUAUGGAUUGUAAACUUCUUUUAUACGGGAAUAACAAGAGUCACGUGUGACUCCCUGCAUGUACCGUAUGAAUAAGCAUCGGCUAACUCCGUG